rnacentral:RNase_P_RNA from 1 species
GGUGCGGUAAGAGCGCACCGCGCGACUGGUAACAGUUCGCGGCAAGGUAAACCCCGCCCGGAGCAAGACCAAAUAGGGGAGUAGGGCAACGCACAACGCCCCCGAGGGGUGUUUGGGUGUUUGCCCACCGUCGGUUCCGAACGGACUCCCGGGUAGGUCGCUUGAGGCAGUCGGUGACGACUGUCCUAGAUGAAUGGUUGUCGAUGACAGAACCCGGCUUAUUGCCGGCUCCGGCUU